GACAAGCCUAUCGAGCUGGGUGAUAGCUGGUUGCCUGUAAAACGAAUUUAAGUUCUCCCUUAGCCCCCUCCCCAAGACAAACCGCCAAAUCCCCAUGCAGUAGGCUAAGAGCUAUUCAAAGGGGGUACAGCCCCUUUAAAAAGGAUACAACCUCCAUCAGCGGAUAACCUCAUCCCACCUCAACCCCCGUGGGCCUUAAAGCAGCCACCCCUAAAGAACGCGUCAAAGCUCCACAAACUGAAAAAAAUCUAAAAACAAUGCAAAUCCCUAAACCCAUAACAGGCCAACCUACAAUAGUAGAUGAAUCAAUGCUAAAACGAGUAACCAGGACACCAAGUCCCCUAAAGCGCCAACCUAGGCACCAUUAACAGCACAACUACAAUACCAAACCCCGACUAAACAUUGAACACACCCUGUUAGACCAACCCCGGAGCGCACACUAGGAUGAUUAAAAUCUGCAGAAGGAACUCGGCAAACCCAAGACCCGACUGUUUACCAAAAACAUAGCCUUCAGCCAAACAAGUAUUGAAGGUGAUGCCUGCCCAGUGACACCACGUUUAACGGCCGCGGUAUCCUAACCGUGCAAAGGUAGCGCAAUCAAUUGUCCCAUAAAUCGAGACCUGUAUGAACGGCUAAACGAGGUCUUAACUGUCUCCUACAGAUAAUCAGUGAAACUGAUCCCUCUGUGCAAAAGCAGAGAUGAGCACAUAAGACGAGAAGACCCUGUGGAACUUCAAAAUCAAUAGCCACUACAUCCAACUUACAAACCCAUCGGGUUCACCACCCCAAAACACUGGCUAAU
rnacentral:rRNA from 1 species